AGCUCAGUUGGCCAGAGCACGUGAUUUGUAAUCUCGGGGUCGUUGGUUCGAAUCCGACA
rnacentral:tRNA from 1 species